rnacentral:lncRNA from 1 species
GCCACCUAUUCUAGAGGAGCAGUAUUGAAGGGCCUGGAGAAACCGAGUGCUCUUUAAGUGUGGCCCUCACCAUCCCUCCUGGUGCGUUAUCUCCAGCUGCGCAUCCAAAAACAUCCCAGUCUGCCCCUGGCCUCUGCAUGGAGCCUGACCCCAACACAGACCUCUCAAGAGGUUCUGGAUUCACUGGUGCUGCUACAGCCCUGAGCAAAAACACAGCUGCUUCGUUUACUACCCCACCCCAACAUAAGCUGUCCUCAGACUUUACAAAGACUUAGGGAUUGCACAGUCCACAAGACUUUCAAUGCCUUUGCCCUGUAUUUCAACUAACUUUCAAAUAGAGGGACCUUCUUAUAGGAAGAAGAAGGAAAAAUCAAGUGGAAAAACACCUUGAUCAGGUAAUUGAAGGAGAACUGGGGCUCAAGCUGCCACUUGGUUUGGAAAGGGUGUGGAGGUGGCUAAUCUGGCCCUGGCCUGAGAGCAAUUCCAGGCUGGCAGGCUGGACCGCCUGUCUCCAUAGCAACUGUUGUUAUUGGUAACUGAAUAACCAUUUCCUAGAACGGCGGCUAGAGCUGCUGAUGGUUUUCCCUUCUACUUGGAAGUGAGAGGAGCCAGGCUCUUUGCUGAUUGAUCCUAAGUGCUGAGCUCUUUGCUGAUUGGGAUCUUCACUUGAUAUUGGGCAAGCUGAAGCCACCCUUCUGUUUUAUCUCUGACCUCUGCCAGCAGAGAGGGUGGGACAAACUGACUUAAUGUCUAUUUUCCGGCUUCCUCUGUCCCAUUCCUCUGAGAUCUCAUGAAAACCUGAUUAGCCCUCUCUCAUGACACCAUGAGCUGUCUAAUUAUUUGUGAGGACAGGUAGCAUCUUACAGUGAUCCAUGGUCUGCACAAAGGCUGUUCUAGAAGCUGUCUUACUUGAUUAUCCUGCAGUGGUGUCAGUGGGACCUUAAAAUGCUGUAGCCCUAGAGUUAUUAGGGUUCCUGUUUCCAGACCAGGCAAGGUGGCUCACAAAUGGCUCUAUGCUCCAGAGAAAGUCAGCAGGGAGGGUUGUGAUUUGUUAUUAUGAAAAAUUAACAAAUUACAUCCUCAAUGUGCUUAACUCCUAUUCCCUUCUGAUUCGAAUAUACACAUCAGGUCUUUCAAGAAGAAUUUAAAAAUCAAUCAUUAGAUAUCCAAUGAACCCUCUUCUCUGCUGAUUGUGAAUAAAAGGCAUGUUUGGCUCUUGG